CGACCGGCGCACGGGUGAGUAACACGUAUGCAACCUGCCCUCUUCAGGGGGACAACCUUCCGAAAGGGAGGCUAAUCCCGCGUAUAUCGGUUUCGGGCAUCCGAGAUCGAGGAAAGAUUCAUCGGAAGAGGAUGGGCAUGCGGCGCAUUAGCUAGACGGCGGGGUAACGGCCCACCGUGGCGACGAUGCGUAGGGGUUCUGAGAGGAAGGUCCCCCACACUGGUACUGAGACACGGACCAGACUCCUACGGAAGGCAGCAG
rnacentral:rRNA from 1 species